UACGUAGGUGUCGAGCGUUGUCCGGAUUUAUUGGGCGUAAAGAGCCCGCAGGCGGCUUGGCAAGUUUGAGGUGAAAUCUCCCGGCUUAACUGGGAGGGGGCCUCGAAAACUGCCAGGCUUGAGGCAUGGAGAGGGAUGCGGAAUUCCCGGUGUAGUGGUGAAAUGCGUAGAUAUUGGGAAGAACACCGGUGGCGAAGGCGGCGAGCUGGUCCAUUACUGACGCUGAGGCGCGACAGCGUGGGGAGCAAACAGG
rnacentral:rRNA from 1 species